GCUAGAUCCUUACCUGUAAAUCUGAUAUCUGAUUUCAAUAUUGGGUUUUUGGAUUUGUAAUUGUGUUUAGUUUUUAUUUCUAACUGUCAAUUGUGCUGAGGUAGAGACUUGAUUGCUCAAGCUCAAUCUGGUAUUGGAAAAAAGUUCUUUGAUUGCUCUUACUGUUUGUCAAAUCGUUGAUUCUUCUAAUCGAGAAAACCAGUUCAAGAGCAUGGAAAAUGAGAAGUCCUUGAAACUGUUAUGGGGAUUAAAGAUAGGCAUGAGGCUGCUAAAGAGAUUGAAAGGAGUCUAUUGGGGCAUUACCAGGCCAAGGUUUGUCAGAGAAGCAACAGAAAAUGUAUGUGUAUGGGUUUGUGGAGUUGUCUGCUACUUUGUGCUGCGCUGCUCCUGUAUGGAUCCAAAACAACAAUAUCUCAGUGUGGAUGUUAAUGGCUGGAGGUGCCACAUCAGAACUUGGGUUAUGGAUGUUUGAUUUGUCUGUCACGCAAACAAGUGCAGAUCGUCACUUCGUUGGAGGAGUACAGAACUCACUGCAGUACUAUUCAAUUUAUUGCCAUACUUUAUGAGUAUACAAAACCGAAGCUCAGGUUAAAAUGUAGAGCGAGUGGUCAGUUUUGUGUGUAUGAUGCAGUUGGAAGGAGCUUGAUUGAGUCCUAAAUCAGGUGAUACUGAGAUUAGCAGAAGGAGAAGCUUGUUGGUAAUGGAAGAUAAAGUGUGUAUGUUGAUGUUGCAGUUGAGAUUUGUUGAUGUGUAGAGUGUAUGGAUGAAAUAUCACACCAAGAUCUUGCACAAGAUGAGCUUAACACUGUCUUAGCUGCUGUUGUUCAGGGUGUGACACUUGGUAAUCAUGGUGUUAAACCAGAGAAUGCUAUUGAACUUGGAUAGGAUAAUGCUAUUGCUAAAAGAGGUCGAGGUCGUCCACCAACCCCAACUACAGCUGAUAAGGGUAUGACACUUGGUAAUAAUGGUGUUAAACUUGAUAUGGAGAAUGCUAUUGAACUUGAACAGGACAAUGCUAUUGCUGAAAGAGGUCGAGGUCGUCCACCAAAAAAUAAUUCAGGAAGAACAGGGAGGCCUCCGACUAACGCUGAUAAGAUUUACUCAGAGUACUAUAAGAUUUUAGAGAAGUCUGAUUAUCUAACGGGAGAGACUGUUCGUGACAAAUGGUUAGGGAAGCUUCUUCAAGGUAUUGAAUAUGUUUGUGAUUCCAAGGACUAUGGGAAAGAUGAACACAAAGAAAA